rnacentral:rRNA from 2 species
ACGCUGGCGGCGUGCCUAAUACAUGCAAGUCGAACGAGUUCUCGUUGAUGAUCGGUGCUUGCACCGAGAUUCAACAUGGAACGAGUGGCGGACGGGUGAGUAACACGUGGGUAACCUGCCCUUAAGUGGGGGAUAACAUUUGGAAACAGAUGCUAAUACCGCAUAGAUCCAAGAACCGCAUGGUUCUUGGCUGAAAGAUGGCGUAAGCUAUCGCUUUUGGAUGGACCCGCGGCGUAUUAGCUAGUUGGUGAGGUAAUGGCUCACCAAGGCGAUGAUACGUAGCCGAACUGAGAGGUUGAUCGGCCACAUUGGGACUGAGACACGGCCCAAACUCCUACGGGAGGCAGCAGUAGGGAAUCUUCCACAAUGGACGCAAGUCUGAUGGAGCAACGCCGCGUGAGUGAAGAAGGCUUUCGGGUCGUAAAACUCUGUUGUUGGAGAAGAAUGGUCGGCAGAGUAACUGUUGUCGGCGUGACGGUAUCCAACCAGAAAGCCACGGCUAACUACGUGCCAGCAGCCGCGGUAAUACGUAGGUGGCAAGCGUUAUCCGGAUUUAUUGGGCGUAAAGCGAGCGCAGGCGGUUUUUUAAGUCUGAUGUGAAAGCCCUCGGCUUAACCGAGGAAGCGCAUCGGAAACUGGGAAACUUGAGUGCAGAAGAGGACAGUGGAACUCCAUGUGUAGCGGUGAAAUGCGUAGAUAUAUGGAAGAACACCAGUGGCGAAGGCGGCUGUCUGGUCUGUAACUGACGCUGAGGCUCGAAAGCAUGGGUAGCGAACAGGAUUAGAUACCCUGGUAGUCCAUGCCGUAAACGAUGAAUGCUAGGUGUUGGAGGGUUUCCGCCCUUCAGUGCCGCAGCUAACGCAUUAAGCAUUCCGCCUGGGGAGUACGACCGCAAGGUUGAAACUCAAAGGAAUUGACGGGGGCCCGCACAAGCGGUGGAGCAUGUGGUUUAAUUCGAAGCAACGCGAAGAACCUUACCAGGUCUUGACAUCUUUUGAUCACCUGAGAGAUCAGGUUUCCCCUUCGGGGGCAAAAUGACAGGUGGUGCAUGGUUGUCGUCAGCUCGUGUCGUGAGAUGUUGGGUUAAGUCCCGCAACGAGCGCAACCCUUAUGACUAGUUGCCAGCAUUUAGUUGGGCACUCUAGUAAGACUGCCGGUGACAAACCGGAGGAAGGUGGGGAUGACGUCAAAUCAUCAUGCCCCUUAUGACCUGGGCUACACACGUGCUACAAUGGAUGGUACAACGAGUUGCGAGACCGCGAGGUCAAGCUAAUCUCUUAAAGCCAUUCUCAGUUCGGACUGUAGGCUGCAACUCGCCUACACGAAGUCGGAAUCGCUAGUAAUCGCGGAUCAGCACGCCGCGGUGAAUACGUUCCCGGGCCUUGUACACACCGCCCGUCACACCAUGAGAGUUUGUAACACCCGAAGCCGGUGGCGUAACCCUUUUAGGGAGCGAGCCGUCUAAGGUGGGACAAA